ensembl:lncRNA
AUGUCUGACGCCGAUGAGAAUCGAGUCAACGGCGAGGAUCUGAUCGAGUCUGCAGACACUGAAAGAUCCAGGCUGCUGCUGGAAAAAGCUGAAGCGGAGACUGAAAAGAGAAAAGCCGAGGCAGAGCUUCAGAGCUUCAUGGAUGACGAAGACAAGAUUUUUGACAAGUUUAAUAAAGAUCUCGUAGAAGUGCAGGUGAAGUCCGAGGCGUG